rnacentral:tRNA from 1 species
CAGGGGAUAGUUUAUUAAAAAUAUUGGUUUUGGAGACUAAUGAAAAGAUCAGAUUCUUUCCCUUGA